AUUGAACGCUGGCGGCAGGCCUAACACAUGCAAGUCGAGCGGAUGAAGGGAGCUUGCUCCUGGAUUCAGCGGCGGACGGGUGAGUAAUGCCUAGGAAUCUGCCUGGUAGUGGGGGAUAACGUCCGGAAACGGGCGCUAAUACCGCAUACGUCCUGAGGGAGAAAGUGGGGGAUCUUCGGACCUCACGCUAUCAGAUGAGCCUAGGUCGGAUUAGCUAGUUGGUGGGGUAAAGGCCUACCAAGGCGACGAUCCGUAACUGGUCUGAGAGGAUGAUCAGUCACACUGGAACUGAGACACGGUCCAGACUCCUACGGGAGGCAGCAGUGGGGAAUAUUGGGCAAUGGGCGAAAGCCUGAUCCAGCCAUGCCGCGUGUGUGAAGAAGGUCUUCGGAUUGUAAAGCACUUUAAGUUGGGAGGAAGGGCAGUAAGUUAAUACCUUGCUGCUUUGACGUUACCAACAGAAUAAGCACCGGCUAACUUCGUG
rnacentral:rRNA from 1 species